AACGCACAUUGCGCCCCUUGGUAUUCCGAGGGGCAUGCCUGUUCGAGCGUCAUUACAAUCCUCAAGUUUUAACUUGGUAUUGGGUCUUCGUCCCUUUUCUUUAAGGGGACGUACCCGAAACUCAUAGGCGGUCGCUUCCAGCUCCCAGCGUAGUUAAAUCUAUUUCGCUAUGGAGUUUCUUUGGAGGUGACUCGCCAGAUAACCUUUAUAUUUUUCAAGGUUUGACCUCGGAUCAGGUAGGGAUACCCGCUGAACUUAA
rnacentral:misc_RNA from 1 species